rnacentral:misc_RNA from 1 species
AACUGGGCAAACUGUAUCGAGUUUUUGCAGGUCAUGCAAUGGUGGUAAAGUAGUGAGAGGAACAAAGUCUGUCAAAUUGGAUAUUAUGCCAGGAGUGGAUGACAAUGAAACAAUAAAGAUGCCAAGAAGUGGUGGAGCAGACCCAGAGAGAAAUCAAUCUGGUGAUCUAUUUGUAACAAUCAGGGUUCGGGAAGAUCCUAUUUUCCGUAGAGAAGGUUCUAACAUUCAUGUGGAUGCUGUUUUGAGUGUUACUCAGGCAAUUUUGGGGGGAACCAUCCAGGUCCCUACUCUCACAGGAGAUGUUGUACUUAAGGUCCGGGCUGGCACCCAGCCUGGCCAGAAGGUGGUCCUCAAGAAAAAAGGGGUUAAAGCUUGUGGCUCUUACUCUUUCGGUGACCAAUUUGUGCACUUCACUGUCAACAUUCCAACGAACUUGACUCCAAGACAACGGGAAUUGAUUGAAGAGUUUGCCAAAGAAGAACAGGGUGAAUAUGAUAAGCGUGCUGCUGGAGCCUCUGUGUAAAGAGACCUGAGCAAACUCGUCAGCCUUCAUCAGCCAUCUCAGGGUUAGCAAGACAAUAUAAAAGAAAGGGAUCAAGAAUAGGAGGAAAGGUCAUAUUAUUUUAACCGACCUUUAGCAGAAGUUUUGUAGGAUGAAAUUUGUUGAGAUGCAUGCGACCUUUUGUUUAUUUUAGAAGGAAUGUAAUUUUUUUUUUU